rnacentral:rRNA from 1 species
GACAGAGGGUGCAAACGUUGUUCGGAAUUACUGGGCGUAAAGCGCGUGUAGGCGGCUCUGCAAGUCGGGUGUGAAAGCCCUCGGCUCAACCGAGGAAGUGCACUCGAAACUGCAGAGCUAGAGUCCCGGAGAGGAUGGUGGAAUUCUCGGUGUAGAGGUGAAAUUCGUAGACAUCGAGAGGAACACCGGUGGCGAAGGCGGCCAUCUGGACGGUGACUGACGCUGAGACGCGAAAGCGUGGGGAGCAAACAGG